AUUGAACGCUGGCGGCAUGCCUUACACAUGCAAGUCGAACGGCAUCGCGGGAAAGCUUGCUUUCCUGGCGUCGAGUGGCGCACGGGUGAGUAACACAUCGGAACGUACUGGCUGGUGGGGGAUAACUCGUCGAAAGACGGGCUAAUACCGCAUACGCUCUUCGGAGGAAAGCAGGGGACCUUUGGGCCUUGCGCUAGCCGAGCGGCCGAUGUCCGAUUAGCUAGUUGGUGGGGUAAAGGCCUACCAAGGCGACGAUCGGUAGCGGGUCUGAGAGGACGAUCCGCCACACUGGAACUGAGACACGGCCCAGACUCCUACGGGAGGCAGCAGUGGGGAAUCUUGGACAAUGGGGGCAACCCUGAUCCAGCAAUGCCGCGUGAGUGAAGAAGGCCUUCGGGUUGUAAAGCCCUUUCGGCAGGGAAGAAAUCGGCUGGGCGAAUAACCCUGCUGGAUGACGGUACCUGCAGAAGAAGCACCGGCUAACUACGUG
rnacentral:rRNA from 1 species